rnacentral:rRNA from 1 species
AUUGAACGCUGGCGGCAUGCCUUACACAUGCAAGUCGAACGGCAGCGGGGGAGAAGCUUGCUUUUCCUGCCGGCGAGUGGCGAACGGGUGAGUAAUACAUCGGAACGUGCCCUGUAGUGGGGGAUAACUAGUCGCAAGAUUAGCUAAUACCGCAUACGACCUGAGGGUGAAAGUGGGGGACCGCAAGGCCUCAUGCUAUAGGAGCGGCCGAUGUCUGGUUAGCUAGUGGGUGGGGUAAAGGCCUACCAAGGCGACGAUCAGUAGCUGGUCUGAGAGGACGAUCAGCCACACUGGAACUGAGACACGGCCCAGACUCCUACGGGAGGCAGCAGUGGGGAAUUUUGGACAAUGGGCGAAAGCCUGAUCCAGCAAUGCCGCGUGUGUGAAGAAGGCCUUCGGGUUGUAAAGCACUUUUGUCCGGAAAGAAAUGGCUCUGGUUAAUACCUGGGGUCGAUGACGGUACCGGAAGAAUAAGGACCGGCUAACUACGUGCCAGCCGCCGCGGUAA